GCCAACAGGAAAUUUUGAUCUAUCCAGAAUGGUCUCUUUUCUGUUUGUCCAGUGAACCAAAGGAUCAGUUUUUCACUUGAUUGCAGAGGUUGACUGUAUGCCAUGCUGGUGUAAAGCUCUGCUGUAAAGGAAAAGAAAUCCAGGAGUGAAAAAAAUUUGGCAAAGAUUUUCAAAAUCAAUCAGUAUUGGCUUUACUUUACUUUACAUCUACUCAUGUGAUCCAAAGCUUCAGACAUCUUUUCUUGAAACAUCAUGGUUGUUUAGGUGUUUAGUUUUUUGAAUUUGUCUGGAUGCGCUGCUUAAACUAAUUCCUGUGGAAUUUUCUCCUAUCAGAUA